rnacentral:rRNA from 1 species
CUAGCGGCAGGCUUAACACAUGCAAGUCGAACGGUAACAUUGGUGCUUGCACCAGAUGACGAGUGGCGCACGGGUGCGUAACGCGUAUGCAAUCUACCUUUUACUGGAGUAUAGCCCAGAGAAAUUUGGAAUGAUCCUCCAUAAUAUCAUUUAAUCGCAUGAUUUUUUGAUUAAAGCUUCGGUGGUAAAAGAUGAGCAUGCGUUCUAUUAGCUAGUAGGUAAGGUAACGGCUUACCUAGGCAACGAUAGAUAGGGGUCCUGAGAGGGAGAUCCCCCACACUGGUACUGAGACACGGACCAGACUCCUACGGGAGGCAGCAGUGAGGAAUAUUGGACAAUGGACGAAAGUCUGAUCCAGCCAUGCCGCGUGCAGGAUGAAUGCCCUAUGGGUUGUAAACUGCUUUUAUAUAGGAAGAAAACCCUCCACGUGUGGAGGCUUGACGGUACUAUAAGAAUAAGGAUCGGCUAACUCCGUGCCAGCAGCCGCGGUAAUACGGAGGAUCCAAGCGUUAUCCGGAAUUAUUGGGUUUAAAGGGUCCGCAGGCGGCCUAUUAAGUCAGAGGUGAAAUCCAACAGCUCAACUGUUGAACUGCCUUUGAUACUGAUAGACUUGAGUUAUUGUGAAGUGGUUAGAAUGUGUGGUGUAGCGGUGAAAUGCUUAGAUAUCACACAGAAUACCCAUUGCGAAGGCAGAUCACUAACAAUAUACUGACGCUCAUGGACGAAAGCGUGGGGAGCGAACGGGAUUAGAUACCCCGGUAGUCCACGCCGUAAACGAUGGAUACUAACUGUUCGGUUUUAGGACUGAGUGGUCAAGCGAAAGUGAUAAGUAUCCCACCUGGGGAGUACGCUCGCAAGAGUGAAACUCAAAGGAAUUGACGGGGGCCCGCACAAGCGGUGGAGCAUGUGGUUUAAUUCGAUGAUACGCGAGGAACCUUACCAGGGCUUAAAUGUAGUGGGACAGAUUUAGAGAUAAAUCCUUCUUCGGACUCAUUACAAGGUGCUGCAUGGUUGUCGUCAGCUCGUGCCGUGAGGUG